AGCAGAGUACAAAACCUCUCUGUAACAGCAAGGGACAGGAGGAGAAUUUGACCUGACAGUUGAGGAAUAACUUGCCGUCUUCAGGUAAACAUGAGUUCCCUCCCACGAAUGAAUAGACGGGUAAGUAUAUUCCCUGGGUACAGACGUCAGUUCAACGUCUAGUUUUGAUUUACAUUUGGUUGAGUCGUCAACUGACGUGAAUUCAAUGUGAAAUCAACAAAACAUUUCACCAUGUCAUUGGAUUUAGGUUAAAAGUUGGGUGAAAAAAUGCUAAAUUCCCUGACAUUGAUGACUUUUUGCAAAUCCAAUCAUCACAUUGAUUUGCUAGUUGAAAUGAUGGGGAAACGACGUUGAUUCAACCAGUUUUGGUUUGGCAUUUGGAUAAUGCCAAAUAAUCCCUCAAUAAAGGAAUUUCUGUCUUUCAUCUCUCCCCCAUCUCUCCCUUUCUCACCCCUUCUCUUUUCCUCUUUCUCUCUCUCACCCUUUUUUUCUCUCUCUCUCCCUCUCUCUAUAUCGCUCUCCCUCUCCACACUCUCUCUCCCUCCAUUUCUCUCCCUCUCUCUCUCUCUGAGGGAUAAUGCCUCAUUGUAUUGGUCAGCAGAAGAGUUAGGUAACACUAUCUUGAAGAAACUUGUGGAUUGUGUUUAUGGAAUGGAUACUCACUGCCAGUAAAAUAAUGUUGUAAACUGUAUAAAUAAAAUAGAUUAAAAGGGACACUGAACUAACUGAUGGUCAUUCAGUUCCAGAUUUCCAAGCAGUCAACAAGAUACAGUUAGUUAUUUUGGGCCUUAUGUGGGGCUAAUGUGUGACUUCAGCUCUCCCUCUGCUGGUAGCUGUAGGACAUUAUUAAUGGGAUAGUUUAAUUAUCUUCACUGUAUAGGCCUACACUGGUUAGCAGAUGAUUUGACCAAAAGCGACAGUACAGUGAGUACAUACAUUGUAAUAUUAGUAUGUUGUCGUUUUAGUAUGUGAUCCCUACAUGGACUACAGACAAUCACAGACUACAAAAGGAAAAGUACAUCAAUGGGGCCAAUCUUCCUGCGAUCCAGGACCUCUAUACCAGGCGGUGUCAGAGGAAGGCCCUAAAAAUGGUCAAAUACUCCAGCCACCCUUGUCAUAGACUGUUCUCUCUGCUACCGCAUGGCAAGCAGUACCGGAGCGCCAAGUCUAGGUCCAAAAAUCUUCUUAACAGCUUCUACCCCCAAGCCAUAAGGCUCCUGAACAGCUAAUCAAAGGGCUACCCAGACCCCUCUUUACGCUGCUGCUACUUAAAUGAGUAAAACAUUUAAACGUGUUAACCCUCACAGGGCUGCUGGCCCAGACGGCAUCCACAGCCGCGUCCUCAGAGUGUGCACAGACCAGCUGGCUGGUGUGUUUACGGGCAUAUUCAAUCUCUCCCUAUCACAGUCUGCUGUCCCCACAUGCUUCAAGAUGGCCACCAUUGUUCCUUUACCCAAGAAAGCAAAGGUAACUGAACUUAAUGACUAUCGCCCCAUGGCACUCACCUCUGUCAUCAUGAAUUGCUUUGAGAGACUAGUCAGAGAUCGUAUCACCUCUACCUUGCCUGACACCCUAAACCCACUUCAAUUUUCCACCCCCAAUAGAUUCACAGACGAUGCAAUCACCAUCACUCUGCACACUGCCCUAUCCCAUCUGGACAAGAGAAAUACCUAUGUAAGAAUGCUGUUUAUUGACUAUAGCUCAGCAUUGAACACCAUAGUACCCUCCAAGCUCAUCAUUAAGCUCGAGACCCUGGGUCUGAACCCCGCGCUGUGCAACUGGGUCUUGGACUUCCUGACGGGCCGCCCCAGGUGGUGAAGGUAGGAACAUUACCUCUACUCUGCUGAUCCUCAACACUGGGGCUCCACAAGGGUGUGUUCUCAGCCCCCUCCUGUACUCCCUCGCCUCCAAUUCAAUCAUCAAGCUUGCAAAUGACACAACAGUGGUAGGCUUGAUUAUCAACGAUGACGAGACAGUCUACAAGGAGGAGGUGAGGGCUCUGGGAGUGUGGUGCCUGGAAAACAACCUCUCACUCAAUGUCAACAAAACAAAGGAGAUUAUCGUGGACUUCAGGAAACAGCAGAGGGGACCCCCUAUCUACAUUGAUGGGACCGCAGUGGAGAAGGUGGAAAGCUUCAAGUUCCUUGGUGUACGCAUCACUGACAAACUGAAAUGGACCACCUACACAGACAGUGUGGUGAAGAAGGCGCAACAGAGCCUCCAACCUCAGGAGGCUAAAGAAAUGUCCCCAGGACACAUACAGCACCCGAUGUCACAGGAAGGCCAAAAAGAUCCUCAAGGACAUCAACCACCUGAGCCAAUUCCUGUUCACCCCCCUAUCAUCCAGAAGGCAAGGUCAGUGCAGGUGCAUCAAAGCUGGGACUGAGAGACUGAAAAACAGCUUAUAUCUCAAGGCCAUCAGACUGUUAAACAGCUAUCACUAGCACAUUAGAGGCUGCUGCCUAUAGGCAUGGACUAGAAAUCACUGGUCACUUUAAGGAAUUAAACACUAGUCACUUUAAUAAGGUUUACAUAUCUGGAAUUACUCAUCUCAUAUGUAUAUACUGUAUUCCAUACUAUUCCACAGUAUCUUAGUCACUUAAUAAUGUUUACAUAUCUUGCAUUACUCAUCUCAUAUGUGUAUACUGUAUUCUAUACUAUUCUACUGCAUCUUAGUCCGUUCCGCUCUGACAUCACUCAUUCAUAUAUGUAUAUAGUCUUAAUUCAUUCCUAUUUAGAUUUGUGUGUAUAAGUCGUACAAUUUGUUAGCGCUAGAAGCACAUGCAUUUUGGUACACCGGCAAUAACAUCAACAAAUCACGUGUAUGUGACCAUUACAAUUUGAUUUGAUGGGAUUUGAAUUGAACCCACAAUCAUGGAGAUGCUAUCCAGCUGAGCUGAGCUCUGAACCAACUGAGCCACACAGGAUCACUACAUUAUGGAGGCAGUGUUGAGUAACCUUUUCUAAGCUAAGAAGGUGAUAUCCAUGGAGAAUGAAACCUGGGGCAAAAGACACAAUCUGCCAAAUGUAAUAGGCCUCCAAGUUUUAUGACUUGUAUGGUAAUUGAAUGGUAAUUAAAACUUCCCAUUCUAGUGUGGGGUGGGAAAGAGCAAAAUCAGACAGUUAAAUGCCCCAAAUGGUACCCUGUUCCCUAUACUUUUGGGACCUGGUCAAAGUAGUGCACUGUAUAGAGAAUAGGGUGCCAUUUGAAAUGUUGCCAGCAGCGUCAUCUAUCAGACCGUUGCUCCUCCAUCCAGGGCAGGGCAGGAGUCAAGAGAGGUGAGAUGCUGUCAGACAUUUACACCAACAUUUGAUCCUCCAAUUGGAAGCAGAUCGAGGGGCUUCUCGUUUUCUCCUGGACUCCAGAUUGGUGGUGGGAUUCCAAGACAAACAGGCUGCCACUGCUCUCUGGCGCCCCUCCAUCCCUGUGGGCAAGCUUGGCACUCGCCUCGCACUCCUCUGCCAACACUCAUCUGCCUGCCCCAGCCAUUUUUCUCGUUUGCUCUCUCUCUCUCUCUCUCUCUCUCUCUCUCUCUCUCUCUCUCUCUCUCUCUCUCUCUCUCUCUCUCUCUCAGAGGGGAGAGCCAUGCAUAUUCACGGAAUGCUUCAUUUUGUAUUCUAGCCCAGAUUUGUCUGAAAACCCCAAAUGCUUAAAUGAAAACAGUCCUCCUGAGUUGAGUGUGGUUUUGGAGAGGGUUGACUUUGGUCGGGAUUGAAAUCCUCUCAAAUGAGGUGUGGAGUGGUGACCCUGAUAUAUAUUCCCCUUAAGUACUUUCUUCCUUAUAGAUUUCAACCCCUUCGGCAAUUGCUUUACUAGUGAGAUUUUCCUACAGCACUAUAAGGUAUGUUACAGUGGGUCUGUAGCUGAGAAUAUCUACCUUUUAAUUUGAAGUGCCACUUGUGUUAGUGCUACAAUAGGCAGAUGCUAUUAACUCAGUUACAUAUGGUUUGAUUUUGGUAAAAUGAUUGACACAUUUACAGAUUAAAAGUCUAUCAAAUGCAGAAAUCCUACGACAAGUUUUUGUUUUGCACGGCAAGGAAUUAAAAAAUACAAUAAGCUAGUCUCUCUGAUUGGUGUUAAUAAAGGUGAAUUCAUAAUGUAACAACUGCGAGGACGACAGUAGUUCUGUCCCUUUAUAGAAAAGAUAUGCUCUAUCAAGCAAAUGGUUGUCGUCACUCUCCACAAGAGGGAGCCAUCAUACAACUCUAAGUCAAAUGAAACCUUUCAAACAGUACUGUAAUGCAGUUAGAAAGAAUAUAACCAGGGGCAGAUUUAGUGAUUUGGAGGCCCCAGGCAGAGGGGUCAUAUUAGUGUCUAGAACAACCGUUCGGACUCUGCAGACGUUUUUGAGAAACAACUGAUUUUCGAGAAUAGUCCUGGACUGACUAACACUCUGUAGCUCUUCCACCUUUCCACUGGUUGUCAGUAGUUACCACAGCCACAAAGUCAAAAUUGGCUAUAUUGUAAAAAGUCAUGGUUAGAAGGUUUGUCAUGAGUUUAUCAGUGUGGUUAAAGUUAGGGUUAAGGUAAGGGUUAGGUUUAAAAUCAGAUUUUAAGAAGAUACAUGAUAGAAAUAUAUAUAUAUAUUUUUUUUAAUUGCUCACGAGGCCCCUUGAUGAUGUGAGGCCUGAGGUAAUUGCCUCUUCUACCCAAUGGUAAGUCCUCCGGUGAGUAUAGUACAUUUACAUUUACAUUUAAGUCAUUUAGCAGACGUAGUACAAAGACAUCUCCCAGAGGAAUCAUACACUGUUAAUAAAUACGAUACCCUUUUAAGAGAUCGUCAAAAGAGAGGGGAGAGCUUGUGAAAAUGUAUAGUCAGGGCCCUAUGGUGCUUUAAGGAUACAUGGAGGAGGAAGUGGAGCACCAACAGUCGUUGUUUAUUCAUCCAUGGAUCAGCAUGUGUAGACGGAUGUGUGCCUAGUUACCUACAGUUCCAAGUGUCCCUUUGAUAGGUGGUAUGUUUAACUGAACCUCAUUGAUCUGUUGAUGCCUGUAUAGAUAUUGUGGUUUCCUUACGUCCUGUGUGCUCUCUACUGUGUUUCAGCUGGCUAUAGCUGUUCUGUAUGAGUCCUAUAAGAAGAGCCGUUCACUAAUGGUUGUUUAUUCUCACUUCAUGGCCUGCACUUUGUCAGGGUUCACAGUGUAAAUUAGGUCCAAAAUUGAUCUCAGAACGGUGAUUCCUGUAAUCAAUUGAUUCAACAUUGAAGGCUGUCAUUGGAAUUUGAACACGUAAUUCAGUUAGCACCUAAAAUCACAGGGAUUGACACGAGAGGGGUUUAACAAUUUAUUUAUCUGAGUUAAACAAAUAAAAUAUAUUAAUUUCAUAGCAUGUAUCAGUUAUUCUUGCAGUAAGAUGCUCCUGUGUGUUGUGCUUUAGCUCUGCCUGACCUUUAAUACACCAAUAAUGUCUGUAUUUCAAGGGACACACUGUUGAUUGGUAAAGAGCACCCUCUGUCACGCUCAAGACCCGGGGAUUUCACGGUCUGCUUCAGGACAUCGAACUGACAUCUGUGCCCAGUGGGUGAUUUGUCUUCUUUUAAUUAACGUACAACAGAGCAAGAACACUGACUGUAGGCAUCCAGCAGGGGACAGGAAAAUACCUCUAUUGCCUGCUCCCAAUUUCACAGGGGCCUGCCCUCUUACCACUCUGGGGAAUGUCCAGCUGACAGACAGACUGAGAAAAGGAACUGGGGGACUGUGCCACCAAAUGCCUGAAGACCUGUCACAAUGCUAAGACCUGAGCCCUAGGACCAUCCCCCAGGACUACCUGACAUGAUGACUCCUUGCUGUCCCCAGUCCACCUGGCCGUGCUGCUGCUCCAGUUUCAACUGUUCUGCCUUAUUAUUAUUCGACCAUGCUGGUCAUUUAUGAACAUUUGAACAUCUUGGCCAUGUUCUGUUAUAAUCUCCACCCGGCACAACCAAAAGAGAACUGGCCAACCCAUAUAGCCUGGUUCCUCUCUAGGUUUCUUCCUAGGUUUUGGCCUUUCUAGGGAGUUUUUCCUAGCCACCGGGCUUCUACACCUGCAUUGCUUGCUGUUUGGGGUUUUAGGCUGGGUUUCUGUACAGCACUUUGAGAUAUCAGCUAAUGUACGAAGGGCUAUAUAAAUUAAUUAGAUUUGAUUUGACAUGGCGUCUGUUCUAAAACCUGGCCAAACUCUCUUAAUAUAUGGCUUUAGGCAGCACUAUUGGUUCCUUAGCGAAGUGCCCUAUGCUAAUGUGACCCAUUAAAACGACAUUAGUCGAUGCAUUCUGUUUAUACACUAUAUAUGUGGAAUUUGCUAACUUGUAAGGACGGUUUUCGGGGGCAUAGAUUAGGCCUAGUGCUGUACUAAAAAGCAUGCUCAAUGGAGAUUCUCCAUUGAAAGUGCUUUUUAGUCCAGUACUAGUCUUAAUUUGAGUCCGGGAAACUGGCCUGUUCUCACACGUCCCUCGACUAAUUCAAGCUGAGUGCAUCACGGUGACCCAAUAAAAUGCACAGCUUUUGUCUGACCCAGCUUGGGGAGAAAUGGAAAGUAAAGCAGACAGAGGUUGCAAUAGUGGUCUUGAGUAUAUAACCUUGGGCUACACAGCCUAAACAGGGCUGGCAGCAGCACGCAUUCACAAAGCCCUCGUCAUGAAGGGGCUUGGAGCUUCAUACUAUACAGUGAGCUAUCUACCCCCAAUGACUAAAUCGAUCCCCUGGGAGCAGGAGAGAGGAUAGAAGAGCGAAGCAGGGUAUUGCUGAGGCAUCUGAAACAGCAUAGCCAGAGAUGGGGUAGGCCAGACUGGGUUAUCUACCAGCGGGCAGAGGAAGCAGAGGCUUCCGUAUCACCAGUGACUACACAAAGACAGUGGUCUGGGGAAGUCAUAGCUGUAGACUGUGUAGGGAAUGACAUGCUACAGCUCUCUCCAUUUCAUCCAGAAACAGACUGGCCAUAGCGCAGUUUGGGCAAAUGCCAGAUGGGCUGGUUCAUUUUUAACCUAGUGGGCUGGUCUAAAUUGGGAGGUUUUGCCAUAAAAAAAAUAUUUUUUAUGCAGAAUUAUUAUUGACUAUAAAUGGGGGCCUCGAGGAAAAAGAUGAGCCAGUGUGUUAGAAAUGCCCAUGCCGAUUUAUGG